UCCCUUUUUUCUCCUCUUUAAAAAAUCAUUUGUUAUAAAGAAUGAUUCUCUGGGAAUAGAAAGAAAAGGAUGCAGGAAGAAAUCUAGGUGAUAUUUAAAACAAGUAUCAAUAAAAACUGAUUUAAAAAAUCUAGUAUCACUCAUUCAAAAACCAUCUGCUAGGCAUCUACUGUUUGCAAAGCACUGAGCUGGUCAAAGUCAAAGAGUAUUAAGACAAUACUAAACCUCAAGAAACUUAUAAUCUAGCUUACAGGAAAAAGUAAUAUCAAUAACCAAUUACAGUGCAUUGUACAUAGUAGGCAGUUAAUAAAUGACUGAUGAAUGAAUGUUAAAAGUAAUGCAAUGUAAUUUCACAGAUCCCUUCUGGAUAGAGCAAACAUCAGGGAAAGCUUCAUGGAAGUGGCAUCUGUAUUGAUAACUGAUGGAUAGGUAAGACUUAGAUGAAGCCAGGUACAGAAAGUACGACUAAAGUGUGAAGAGAAGAAAUAUAAAACAUGUUCAGCAAAUAAUGGAGUAGUCUGGAACACAAGUACAUGAAAGAGGCAGCAUGGUGUAGGGAAAAGAACACUGGGCUUGGGAGUCAGCAGAUUUGGGUCUGAGCCCUAGCUCCAGGACUUACUUUUAUUAUCAAGUGAGCUAGAUGAAUAAAUUAACCUGAGUCUCCAUUUUCUCAACUAUUAAAAUGAUUAUAUAACCUUUCUAUUACUUACCUCACAGUUACGUCAAAUGAAAGAACAUAUGUAAAUUAUGGUACAGGAGGGACUGUGAUAAAAAUGACGAAAGGGGUACAAAGUAUAAAAUCACACUUAGUAAGAAGCAUAGGUCCUUAGCACUGCCAAAUAGUUCAACAUCGGAAGCAGAUAUGGUUUCAUUGAUGGAAAUUACAUUAAAGAAAAGCUAUUACCAGCUGUCCUGCCAGGACCACUGGGCCUAUCCUGCAGAUGAAUCUUCCUAUACAUACUGCCUCUCCCUAUCAGAACAAGUUCCUUGAGGAGUAUUCUAUGUGUCUAUGAUUGAAGGCAGAUGUCAAAGACCUCCUUCAGUUUAUUUGUAGAGUCCAAGAAGAGGAUCUUCAAAAACAGCAUCUAUUUUGACCUACGUAGCAGGAACCACAACAUAAGUUUUCUAGGGUUAUUGUGACUAACUGCCCUCAAGAGCAAGUCUGGAAAAAAGUAUGUUCCUCAUGUUAAAUUUGUGAUAAACAUUUUCAAAGUGA